ACUGCUCUUCCAGAGGACCCAGG
rnacentral:piRNA from 1 species